UCACCCAAAUAAACAGUUUUGAGCAGAGAAAUCUGUGUAGAUUAACAUCCAGCACUGGUUUAACUUUAAAAGAAAGUCUUUUUUAUUACAGUUUUGUUCACUUAGCUUAGCUUUACUUAACUUAGUUAGCUACCCCCCUCCACAACACCACCACCCAGGGGCGACACCUGCUGAAUAAGAAGUUUCUUAUAGUGUCCGGUGCGCCUUAUAGCGUAAAAAAUACAGUAAUUUCAGGGCUGCUUCCUCACUCAGUCUUCACUGGUGUGUUGCAGGUUCACGUCAAGGUGGAUACGUCCCGUCGGUCUAUAAGAAAGAGAUCAGUUCAGCUGGCCAAAGAGUUCAUCUAGCACCUAUAGAUUCUACACUGUCGAAUUAUGCAACGUGGAAAUCGAGCAGGUCGAGCAGUCAGGUGGGCGCAUCAUCCUACGUAUCGUCCCCCACCAAGAGCACACCAGGCCAGAGGCCCCGCCCCCCAGUACAGCCCGUUCACGGACGCACCGAUUGGUCCGCCAAGUACGGCCAUCGAUAGGGCGUCCUCGGUGCCCUACAAUCUAUCUCUGCGUGUGUAAAUUCAGAUUAUAUACAGCAAUAAUCUCUGUUUUAUAUUCCUCUGUGGAAUUUUUGGCUCAUGUACAAUUUUUAUAUUUGUUUUGCAUAAUAAUAUGCACAAGAAAAUUCUCAGUGUUGGUGUUCAGUGUAUCGAAUGAUAUAUUGAUAUAUUGCAAAAAUUGCAAUCUUUUAUCCCUUGUAAUCUUUCAGACUGCUGAAGAGUAUGCAUUAAUAUAUGGUUAGUGGCAUAAAAAUUGUGGCUUUUUUUUUUGUGGAAUUAUUGUGUUUUUUCCCUCUCCUCAGUAUGUGUAUACCUUUUUUAUUUAUGUUUCUUGUUUUCUAAAUCUUUUUUUACAUUAUAUAUUUUGUCUUAUACCAUUUUUUUUUACUGAUUCCCACGCCAAAUUUUGUAAAUCUGCCAAAAAAUGAUUUUUCUGUUUUUUAUUUGCUAUGAAAAGUGUUUUUGUGUGUUGUUCUUCCCUUAACAAAUGCUCUGUAUGUAUGUAUGGUACGUUAUCUUAUGUUAUGCACAGCACAUGUUCAUUGGUUGGUCUGUUUGGUUGGUUGCUGAUCUGCUUGUUUCCAUCACAGCCCUUUUUCAGGAUGGUGUUUUUAAUGUGAUUUUAAUGUAAUUUUGGUAAUAUUGUCAUUUCUCAGCAUAAUCAGCAGCUCUAGAUUAAAGUAUUAAUUAAAGAAAAUGCAUUAUUUUACCAACUAAUCAGACUUGUUCUCUUUUAAUGACGUCUAAUAUUGGACCUCACUGCUCAGAAGUUUUAGUUUUGGAUAAUGUAUUCUCACUUACAGCCACUUUAACAGCUGCAGAUUAAUCUCACGUAUAGCCCCUUUUAAAUCUGCAGAUUAGCAACACUAUCUAGGUAGUUGCUACGGUGUUAGUAAGUGGUUUCCAGUAAGCUUGUUUUCUAUUUUUUGGGGGAUGUUUUCUUUCUUAGUCUUCUGAUUUUUUUGGGGGGUGUUCUUUCUGGUCUUGUAGUUUUUUUGGGGGGUGUUCUUUCUGGUUUUGUAGUCUUUUUGGGGGGUGGUGUUCUUUCUUGAGGUCUAGUUUCCUUUUUGUCGCAAACGUCGAUCACGUGAUCGAUGGCCUCUUGCAUGGACUGCAAAGCAUCUUUAAGAUCCUGAGGAAUUUCCUUCAUGUCCUGAUCCAUCUUCUUGAACUUCUUGUACAGGUCGUUUAGCUGCACGCGGUGCGCUCCUAUUCUCUCCUUCACGUCCUCGGAGUCCACGGACGGAGGGGGCGGCGCGAUGAACGGCUCCUCCUCCAUAUCGCUGCUUCGAUCAUCUGCCAUGACCGUUACCUUCACAGAAACUCGAAUGUGAAGUCAACGCCGCGCGCGCGCUUUAAUGCGAGGGGCGAGGCCGGGCGAUGACGUAAUCGCCGCGGCCGCGCUGCGCGCUUGAGCCAGGGAGCGCGGGAGAGAUGGCGAUGACGUCAUCGCCGCAGCUGCUCGCACAGUGCGUGGGCGCGCGCGUGUGUGUGUGUGUGUGUGAGAGAGAGAGAGAGAGACGGAGCGAGACGGAGCGCGCGCGAUUCAUCAGGUCAACCUGAUUAGCAACCAUCACAUAUGUUAGCACAUGGGUGUUGCUGGGUAGUUGCCAAGGUGUUAUUAUAAGUGGUUGCCAUCACAUCACAUCUGGUGGUUGCUAAGCAGGCAGCAGAUAACACUUUAAAAGCACUUGAAAAAAACUAUAUAUAUAUUUGAGGUUUCUGUUGUAGUGUGAGUAUGAAUUUCACCAUGCAUAAUGAAAAUAAAAAAAAUAAAUAAAUGAAUACA
rnacentral:lncRNA from 1 species